UUGUUUUGUUUUAAAAAAAAAUCUGUCUAGUACAAGAUAAAGCAAAAUUCUUCAAUGGUAUUUGUACUGUUGAUGAUUUCCAAGUUCACUUCUGCUACAAAUAAAAUGAAAUGAUUAUUUUUCCAUUAUUAACACACACAAAUAGUAGAUCUUUAAAUAGUAAAUACAUAAAAACAUACAAGUAAAUAAUAUUUUGAAUCAUGUUUUUUGCACACAGAUUUAUAUGAAUUAUCAUACAAUAAUUUCAGAAUUUAACCAUUUCAUAAUCAUUCUGGCUGUGCUAGCCCUGGAGACUGAAUGAAGCUAAUACUUUCUCAUAUCUUGUGUUUGCUUUCAUAGUACCCCCACCAAAAGAGGAUCCAGAAGAUCUCACAACAAAGCUGGCCAGUGAAGAGAAAAACAUCUCGCUUAGGACCAGUGCAGAUGGCUGUGAUCGCAAAGGAAAGAGUGAGGAUUUUAUGUAAUGUAGGAAAAGGUCAUCCCAUGGUUUCUGAGAUGACUGUACUGUAUGUGUAUCCAGAACAUUGAUCUCUGACUACAUGGCUUACCUUUAGACUGCAUGCAUGUGCUUCAUUUCAUGAGCUUUCUUUUUUACUACUUACUACAUAGCUGUGAAAUUAUAAGGCAUUCAAGCCUUGAUAUGUUAGCCUUUAUUCUUCAAAUGUUCAGUUUGAUUUCAUCCUAAUUAUUUUUUGCUUUCAUUUUUGCCAUAUGUGUUAUAUUCUGUCAUAAUGACUGGAGAAAUUUAAUUAAAAUUCUAACCCGCAAGUAA